ACAGCAGCAGCCCGGGAAAACGGAGGGUGCAAGCGUUAUCCGGAUUCACUGGGUUUAAAGGGUGCGUAGGCGGAUCUGUAAGUCAGUGGUGAAAUCUCUAGGCUUAACCUGGAAACUGCCGUUGAUACUAUAGGUCUUGAAUUUUGUGGAGGUUAGCGGAAUAUGUCAUGUAGCGGUGAAAUGCAUAGAUAUGACAUAGAACACCAAUUGCGAAGGCAGCUGGCUACACAACUAUUGACGCUGAGGCACGAAAGCGUGGGGAUCAAACAGGAUUAGAUACCCCGGUAGUCCCUGUCUCUUAUACA
rnacentral:rRNA from 1 species